GCCUUUUGCUUUCAAACCCCUAGCCCUCGAGUCUAAGCGCAUAGGCACUCCUAAGAAACAUCUGUGGAUACAGGAUUUUUCAACUGCGCUUGACUUUAUUUACAACUCAUUUGAAUGUUUUUUCUGGGUAGUGGAAAUGAUUCUCAAAAAGAUGAAGAAAUUCAGUCUUCUAUAUGGCGAAUUUCUGCCUCAGAGAGUGAGAUUUGUUCAUUGCAAAGAGCAGCUGUUCCCUUAACCCUUAUCAAUGCUUAAGAUGGAAGAUGUUGCUUCUCAUUCCAUUAGAGUUGCCCAGGUACUUACAUCUCUGUUAGCUGACUUUCGGGAUAAAACCAAAAUAUUUGAUGACGCAUACCUCUCAGAUUAAAAAUGUAGGUUAGCAUUUGGGGCUAGUUUGCAACAUGUUUAAAGUCAUUAUUGGUGGAAGAGAAGCUGCUAAGCAAAUUCUAGCACUUGACUCCCGCUCAUCCCCAAAUCCACAAGUAUUUUCAUUUAGUUCGUCUGAAGUUUACCUGAGCAUCAAAGGCAAAAGGACUAGUUAUCUUUUAAUAAGUGAGUUUUCCAGGAGAUAAGUUUUUUUGUUUGUUUGUUUCAGACGGAGUCUUGCUCUGUCGCCCAGGCUCGAGUGCAGUGGCAUGAUCUUGGCUCACUGCAACCUCCGCCUCCCGGGUUCAAGCAAUUCUCCUGCCUCUGCCUCCUGAGUAGCUGGAAUUACAGGCGCACACCACCACGCCCGGCUAAUUUUUGUAUUUUUAGUAGAGACGGGGUUUCACCAUAUUGGCCAGGUUGGUCUCGAACUCCUGACCUCGUGAUCCGCCCGCCUCGGCCUCCUGAAGUGCUGGGAUUACAGGCAUGAGCCACUGUGCCUGGCCAGAAGUUUUAAACAUACAGUAUUUUAGUUUAUUUUCCUUUCUAUUUCUUUAUUUUCAAUUAACAAUAUUUAAUAUAAAAGUUACACGUUUAUUGUAGGAAGAUCAUACUGCCUCAUUUGAUAAGAGACUUCUGUCUUCUAAC
rnacentral:lncRNA from 10 species